UUUCUCAACAUCUCUAUUCUUUCUCCAUCCCUUAUUCCAUUUUCUGGUGACUCGUAGUUGUUUUCGCUGUUCACAUCGCCACUCCAACCAUUGCUACCUGUGUGUCCCACGCAGUGAUCAGCGAUUGCCUUUCUCAGUCUCUGGAC
rnacentral:sRNA from 1 species